rnacentral:rRNA from 1 species
CCUACGGGUGGCAGCAGUGGGGAAUAUUGCACAAUGGGCGCAAGCCUGAUGCAGCCAUGCCGCGUGUGUGAAGAAGGCCUUCGGGUUGUAAAGCACUUUCAGCGGGGAGGAAGGCGGUGAGGUUAAUAACCUCAUCGAUUGACGUUACCCGCAGAAGAAGCACCGGCUAACUCCGUGCCAGCAGCCGCGGUAAUACGGAGGGUGCAAGCGUUAAUCGGAAUUACUGGGCGUAAAGCGCACGCAGGCGGUCUGUCAAGUCGGAUGUGAAAUCCCCGGGCUCAACCUGGGAACUGCAUUCGAAACUGGCAGGCUAGAGUCUUGUAGAGGGGGGUAGAAUUCCAGGUGUGGCGGUGAAAUGCGUAGAGAUCUGGAGGAAUACCGGUGGCGAAGGCGGCCCCCUGGACAAAGACUGACGCUCAGGUGCGAAAGCGUGGGGAGCAAACAGGAUUAAAUACCCGGGUAGUC